rnacentral:rRNA from 1 species
GGGUGAGUAACGCGUAUCCAACCUGCCUUACACUCUUGGACAGCCUUCUGAAAGGGAGAUUAAUACAAGAUGUUAUCAUGAGUAAGCAUUUUCGCAUGAUUAAAGGUUUACCGGUGUAAGAUGGGGAUGCGUUCCAUUAGAUAGUAGGCGGGGUAACGGCCCACCUAGUCUUCGAUGGAUAGGGGUUCUGAGAGGAAGGUCCCCCACAUUGGAACUGAGACACGGUCCAAACUCCUACGGGAGGCAGCAGUGAGGAAUAUUGGUCAAUGGACGAGAGUCUGAACCAGCCGAGUAGCGUGAAGGAUGAAGGUUCUAUGGAUUGUAAACUUCUUUUAUACGGGAAUAAACGGAUCCACGUGUGGAUUUUUGCAUGUACCGUAUGAAUAGGGAUCGGCUAACUCCGUGCCAGCAGCCGCGGUAAUACGGAGGAUCCGAGCGUUAUCCGGAUUUAUUGGGUUUAAAGGGAGCGUAGAUGGGUUGUUAAGUCAGUUGUGAAAGUUUGCGGCUCAACCGUAAAAUUGCAAUUGAUACUGGCAGUCUUGAGUACAGUUGAGGUAGGCGGAAUUCGUGGUGUAGCGGUGAAAUGCUUAGAUAUCACGAAGAACUCCGAUUGCGAAGGCAGCUUACUAACCUGUAACUGACAUUGAUGCUCGAAAGUGUGGGUAUCAAACAGGAUUAGAUACCCUGGUAGUCCACACGGUAAACGAUGAAUACUCGCUGUAGGCGAUAUACAGUCUGCGGCCAAGCGAAAGCAUUA